GAUGAACGCUGACAGAAUGCUUAACACAUGCAAGUCAACUGUGGCGGACGGGUGAGUAACGCGUAAAGAACUUGCCUCACGGAUAGGGACACCAUUUGGAAACGAAUGCUAAUACCUGAUACUGUGAGAGAGCUUUGCGUCCCAUUAGCUAGUUGGAGAGGUCACGGCUCACCAAGGCGAUGAUGGGUAGCCGGCCUGAGAGGGUGAUCGGCCACAAGGGGAUGGAGACGCGGCCCUUACUCGUACGGGAGGCAGCAGUGGGGAUGAAUGGAGAAUGGGCCAAAGUCUGUACCAUUAAGUGUGUGUGCACGAUGAAGUUUUCGGAAUGGAAGGUGCUUUCAGUUGGGAAGCGGUACCAACAGAAGAAGUGACGGCUAACUACGUGCCAGCAGCCGCGGUAAUAC
rnacentral:rRNA from 1 species